rnacentral:rRNA from 1 species
CAGCAGGCGCGAAAACUUUACAAUGCCGGCAACGGCGAUAAGGGAACCUCGAGUGCCAGGUUACAAAUCUGGCUGUCGUGAUGCCUAAAGAGCAUUGCAUAGCAAGGGCCGGGCAAGACCGGUGCCAGCCGCCGCGGUAACACCGGCGGCUCGAGUGGUAACCGUUAUUAUUGGGUCUAAAGGGUCUGUAGCCGGCCGGGUAAGUCUCUUGGGAAAUCUGGCAGCUUAACUGUCAGGCUUUCAGGAGAUACUGCCUGGCUCGAGGCCGGGAGAGGUGAGAGGUACUUCAGGGGUAGGGGUGAAAUCUUGUAAUCCUUGAAGGACCACCAGUGGCGAAGGCGUCUCACCAGAACGGACCUGACGGCAAGGGGCGAAAGCUAGGGGCACGAACCGGAUUAGAUACCCGGGUAGUCCUAGCCGUAAACGAUACUCGCUAGGUGUCGGCCACGGUGCGACCGUGGUCGGUGCCGUAGGGAAGCCGUGAAGCGAGCCACCUGGGAAGUACGGCCGCAAGGCUGAAACUUAAAGGAAUUGGCGG